UCUUGACGAUCUCUAAACUAUCAACAAAAUCGUAAAAUUUAUCGAACAUUUUCCAGAUUCAGUGAGAGACAAGUAUCUUUUUCUUUAAUUUCGUCAAACCAUGAAUGAGGAGAGUGGUAUGAUCAAUGCCAGAACACUGUGUAGAGUGUCCUAAAAGAAUUUUCAUCUAUAGUGUGUCAUGGGAACUGGAGUGAUGCUGUGAACUUCAAUGUAUUCUCUGUAAUAGAGGCUGUGACUCAUCAACAGCCGAACUAUGCCUACUGUGCCAAGGGCAGGCAGUUUGAAGAAUCCAGAGGUAGCAGACAUCUUUGACCAUGACAAAACUGCCAGAAGUUUUCUUUUAAGUCCUUAUUAAAGAGUGGCAUCACAUCCACCACUAUGUCAAGACUGGUAAUAUUCUUCUGACUGAAAUUGGAAUUGGACUCUUGUCUUCAAAAGAUUCCAUCUGACAGAACCACUACUGGGCAGCUUAUACAUCAUCAAGUUAUUACACGUCCAAUUCCUGGGACUGUAAUAAUUGAUUUGAUACAUCGCACUAAAGCUGCUGUUUGCGAUCUGGACAAUUUAAAGUACCGUAAAAAUGAAGAAAAUCUUGAUGGUUGAUUCUUGUGAAACGGAAAGCAAUACUGGUGAUGCAGAAGGCGAAGAAGAACAAGGCGGUGACGGUAGUAAAAGUAAUUUAAUAACGUCCGAACAAAAUACUCAAUUAGCCGGCAUUAGCGCUAGUUCACAAAGUAGCUCUGCGAGCAGCAUUUCGCCACGCACAGCGAAUCCAGAAAACAGCUCGAUAUAUCCCAUGUCAGUUCGAAAUCGAACAAAGGAUUCGUUUGUUCCAUGAGCUUCAAUAUUUGUUUUGUUUGUAUGUUUUUUUUUUUAUUCUGUGUGAUUAUUACGCAAAAAAAAGUCGUUGCACGCUAGCAACUUGUCGGUGGGAGCGACGGUCUAUCACUUAGCACCAACGCAACCAACAGCCCGAAUACCAAUCACUUCGCUGCCAUUAGAACUACGUCAAUCGUUUUUAAACAGCAAAAAGAGCAUAUCCAAGAAAAAAUGUAUGAGCAAAUGUCUGGCUACAAACACAUGCCGAGAACACCAGAGUGCUCUUAUCAAGCUGGAAGAUAGAUAUAAAGUAGAAAUGGAGGGUCAUAAGCAAAUGUUGGACAAAGAGUACGAAACGUUAUUAACAUGAUUCCGCAAGGAACUGGAAAAGCUUCAUGUGAAACGUCAACAAGAACUUGAACGCAAGCUGAAGCAGAAUUUAUCUGACAAAAAAAGCUGACCAAAAAAUCAACGCGUGACAUUUGCUCGGGCGGAAUAAUUUUGAAAUUCAGGUGCGUCGUGAAUACAAGCAAACUAAAGAAAGGUGGAAGCAGGAACUCAGCAGCGACAAAAGCACAAAAAGAACGCCAACGAGAUGCAUCUCUACGGAAUUACAAAGAUUCCUUGAAGGCAAUCGAAGCGCGUGAGGAAGAACGAUUGACGAAGAGUCAGAAGGACUAUUUGGAAUUAGAGGUGCGCAGGUUACGGCGUGCAAAACUCUUGUCAUAUCAUCGACCGGAACGUGAGCU